rnacentral:rRNA from 1 species
ACAAUGGAGAGUUUGAUCCUGGCUCAGGAUGAACGCUAGCGGGAGGCCUAACACAUGCAAGCCGAGCGGUAUGGUUCUUUCGGGAACCAGAGAGCGGCGUACGGGUGCGGAACACGUGUGCAACCUGCCUUUAUCUGGGGGAUAGCCUUUCGAAAGGAAGAUUAAUACCCCAUAAUAUAUUGAGUGGCAUCACUUAAUAUUGAAAACUCCGGUGGAUAGAGAUGGGCACGCGCAAGAUUAGAUAGUUGGUGGGGUAACGGCCUACCAAGUCAGUGAUCUUUAGGGGGCCUGAGAGGGUGAUCCCCCACACUGGUACUGAGACACGGACCAGACUCCUACGGGAGGCAGCAGUGAGGAAUAUUGGACAAUGGGUGAGAGCCUGAUCCAGCCAUCCCGCGUGAAGGACGACGGCCCUAUGGGUUGUAAACUUCUUUUGUACAGGGAUAAACCUAGAUACGUGUAUCUAGCUGAAGGUACUGUACGAAUAAGCACCGGCUAACUCCGUGCCAGCAGCCGCGGUAAUACGGAGGGUGCAAGCGUUAUCCGGAUUUAUUGGGUUUAAAGGGUCCGUAGGCGGAUCAGUAAGUCAGUGGUGAAAUCUCAUAGCUUAACUAUGAAACUGCCAUUGAUACUGCUGGUCUUGAGUAAGGUAGAAGUAGCUGGAAUAAGUAGUGUAGCGGUGAAAUGCAUAGAUAUUACUUAGAACACCAAUUGCGAAGGCAGGUUACUAUGUCUUAACUGACGCUGAUGGACGAAAGCGUGGGGAGCGAACAGGAUUAGAUACCCUGGUAGUCCACGCUGUAAACGAUGCUAACUCGUUUUUGGGUUUUCGGAUUCAGAGACUAAGCGAAAGUGAUAAGUUAGCCACCUGGGGAGUACGAACGCAAGUUUGAAACUCAAAGGAAUUGACGGGGGCCCGCACAAGCGGUGGAUUAUGUGGUUUAAUUCGAUGAUACGCGAGGAACCUUACCAAGGCUUAAAUGGGAAUUGAUCGGUUUAGAAAUAGACCUUCCUUCGGGCAAUUUUCAAGGUGCUGCAUGGUUGUCGUCAGCUCGUGCCGUGAGGUGUUAGGUUAAGUCCUGCAACGAGCGCAACCCCUGUCACUAGUUGCCAUCAUUAAGUUGGGGACUCUAGUGAGACUGCCUACGCAAGUAGAGAGGAAGGUGGGGAUGACGUCAAAUCAUCACGGCCCUUACGCCUUGGGCCACACACGUAAUACAAUGGCCGGUACAGAGGGCAGCUACACAGCGAUGUGAUGCAAAUCUCGAAAGCCGGUCUCAGUUCGGAUUGGAGUCUGCAACUCGACUCUAUGAAGCUGGAAUCGCUAGUAAUCGCGCAUCAGCCAUGGCGCGGUGAAUACGUUCCCGGGCCUUGUACACACCGCCCGUCAAGCCAUGGAAGUCUGGGGUACCUGAAGUCGGUGACCGUAAAAGGAGCUGCCUAGGGUAAAACAGGUAACUAGGGCUAAGUCGUAACAAGGUAGCCGUACCGGAAGGUGCGGCUGGAACAUCUCAUUU